rnacentral:pre_miRNA from 14 species
CGGUGUGUGAUGUGACAGCUUCUGUAGCACUAAAGUGCUUAUAGUGCAGGUAGUGUGUCGUCAUCUACUGCAUUACGAGCACUUACAGUACUGCCAGCUGUAAGCUCCAGCCUCGGCCC